CACGUAGGGCGCAAGCGUUGUCCGGAAUUAUUGGGCGUAAAGAGCUCGUAGGCGGUCUGUUGCGUCCGCUGUGAAAACUCGGGGCUUAACCCCGAGCCUGCAGUGGAUACGGGCAGACUAGAGGUAGGUAGGGGAGAAUGGAAUUCCCGGUGUAGCGGUGAAAUGCGCAGAUAUCGGGAGGAACACCGGUGGCGAAGGCGGUUCUCUGGGCCUGUCUGACGCUGAGGCAGCGAAAGCGUGGGGAGCGAAACAGGAUGAGAAACCCGGUAGGACCAGACCAAGAUCCCGUCUCG
rnacentral:rRNA from 1 species